UUUUUUAUUCUUUGAACAUUUAUGUUCUUUUGAAUUUCUUUAAUAAUAAAUACAAACAUUGAGUUUUCAUUUUUUUGGCAUAGUUAAUUCUCCAUUUGGAGGCUUGUCUGAUCUGGCAUUCGUUCCACAAUUCUGCUCUGGCUUUGUGUUAACACUUUACUCAGGGUCUCCAGCCCCUGCAUUGCCUGCAUUGCUUUUGCUCCUUCACUACACUCCCUUCUUGCCCCACAAUAAAAGUUACCAUGGAGUUAUUUAUAUACCACAUUUAUUUUGAAGCACUCGGUUCUCGAGAUUUAUUUUAGAAAUUCUGCUAUUGCAAAAAUUCAUCUGUGAAGUGAAAACACUUAAAAUUCAAUAGAUUUUUCUUUUGUGUGUGUGGGUGUGUGUGUGUGUAGACAGUCAUGAAUUACAUUGUAACAUAGUCAGUGAAGGGACCACAUGGUUCCUUAAGGUUAUAUAAACUAGUGACAUCAUAGCCAUCUAAAGCAUACAAUAUUUUUCAUUUUUUGUUAUGAUAAUAAGAUUCCUGAGGCAGGCUACUUUAUAAAAGAAAGUGGUUUGUUUUGGUUCAUGGUUCUGGAGGUUCAAAUUCAAGGUGCCUUAUUUGGUGCUGGUUUGCUGGGAAAAAUACAGGAUAUCACAUGGCAACACAAGGUGUACAGGUCCAUGUGUGUCUAUGUCCUGUGGUCGGUCUCUCUUCUUUUAAAGCCACCAAAAUUUAAUCAGUGGGGGCUAUACCCUAAUGAUGUUAUCUAAUCCUAAUCUCCUUCCAAAGGUCCUUCCCUCUUCAUACCUCACAGUAGGAUUAAAUUUCAGCAUGAAUUUAAGGGGACAAAUUAUAACAUUUGCUCUAUAAUGUUCACAUAAAGAUUAAAUGCUUAACAACACUUUUCUCAAAAUAUAUUCCAUUGUUAACUGUGAGAGAAUGAAAUAUGCUUUGAAAAAUAAGGAGACACCUACUACAACCGCAUCAAGUUGGUUUGUUUUCUUCAGGCUUUUAGAUUUUGCAAUAUAUACAUUGUUUUCUGAAGCAUUUUAUAAAAAGAAGAAUAGUGCAAGAAAAGAACUUUUGUUUUAAUAUGAAAAUAUUAGGUGAAAAUACAAGUGUUAUAUUGAAAAUUGAACACUGAUUACUUAAUCUUACUGUGAGUAAAAAUAGCUGGUUUCAUUCAAUAAAGCAAGUCAACCAACUCUAGGAAAUUUUGUUUGUUUCUCUUGAAAUUUCCAGAUGGUUUCUGAGUGAGAUGAAAUUACACUUUACAACAAUAAUUUAUUCCUAGAAUAUAUUGUGACUAGGAAAUGACGUGUAUUUACAAAGAAAAUUGUUUUUUUUUUCUUGUGCAAUUUAGAAAGACAGGUUACAGUGGCCAUUCAACAUACCACCUGCCACAGAAAGUAGAUUCCUUCUUUGAUACCUUGUGCUACUGUGAUGUCAGCAUUUUCAAUUGAAAACAGAAUUUUUAUUAACUUGGAUCUGAAAAAGAAUUUAUUUGGUCUAGUCUUCUAUUCUGCUGGUGUUUAUUGGGAGAGUAUAAAACAGACCAAUUUUUAAUUGGGGUUCCAAGUAACCACUAUUGUGUCUUAAGGAUUUAUAUUUGUGUCUUAAGGAUUGUUAUUUUUAAUACUGUUUACAGAUGACAUUCUAAUAACUGAAACUAUGUGAAAGUGGAAUGGCAGAUAACAGAAGUCUCUGUAUAAUUUCUUGCCUGAAUUAUACAAAAUUGUACUUAAAAAAAAAAUAGAGUGAAUUUGGUUUCUAUAAAAGAAGAAUGAGCUUAACCUUAAAGAGUAAGGCUACUAAAGGAUAUGUACUUGCUGUCUUUGGAUUCAGGGGAUAUGUUCUCUAAUGAGAAGCCUGUGAGUUUUCCGUUGAAGAGUUAGGGUCAUAUAGACUACUACCUGGGAAACUUCGGGCAAAUCUACCUCCUUCAGCCUCCCCUGACAAUAAAGACUCUCCCCCAUGGGACCUUUGCAGGACCUGUUCAUACAGUAUUUACAUAGUGUCUGGCAUGGCUAAAGCAUAUGUACCACUUAAAAUACACAAGAACACAGCUUAUUGGAACCUUGAC
rnacentral:lncRNA from 1 species